AAGUUGUAACAAGGUUUUCGUAGGUGAACCUGCAGAAGGAUUAUUACCUUUCUGGCUAUUUAAUAGCUUGUCUAGAGGCUGUAGUUUCUGCAGUUUCUAACUACAUCUGUGUUUUUUGCGUAUUACAUGUUUUCUCAGCGGGCUUGCUUGCUGGUUAGACAAACUAAAACUCUUUGCAAUUGUAAUUAGCGUCUAAAUUAUAUAAUAAUUA
rnacentral:misc_RNA from 1 species